UACGUAGGGACCGAGCGUUGUCCGGAAUCAUUGGGCGUAAAGAGCGUGUAGGCGGCCAAUUAAGUCCUGCGUGAAAUCUCGGGGCUCAACCCCGAGCGGUCGUGGGAAACUGGUUGGCUAGAGUGCGGGAGAGGUGGGUGGAAUUCCUAGUGUAGAGGUGAAAUGCGCAGAUAUCAGGAAGAACACCUAUGGCGAAGGCAGCACUCUGGGACGGUACUGACGCUGAGACGCGAAAGCGUGGGGAGCGAACAGG
rnacentral:rRNA from 1 species